rnacentral:rRNA from 1 species
CCUACGGGUGGCAGCAGUGAGGAAUAUUGGUCAAUGGGCGCGAGCCUGAACCAGCCAAGUCGCGUGAGGGAAGACGGUCCUAUGGAUUGUAAACCUCUUUUGUCGGGGAGCAAAAGACGCCACGCGUGGCGUUCCGAGAGUACCCGAAGAAAAAGCAUCGGCUAACUCCGUGCCAGCAGCCGCGGUAAUACGGGGGAUGCGAGCGUUAUCCGGAUUUAUUGGGUUUAAAGGGUGCGCAGGCGGAAGAUCAAGUCAGCGGUAAAAUUGUGAGGCUCAACCUCUUCGAGCCGUUGAAACUGGUUGUCUUGAGUGAGUGAGAAGUAUGCGGAAUGCGUGGUGUAGCGGUGAAAUGCAGAGAUAUCACGCAGAACUCCGAUUGCGAAGGCAGCAUACCGGCGCUCAACUGACGCUCAUGCACGAAAGUGUGGGUAUCGAACAGGAUUAGAUACCCGGGUAGUC